UGCACAGUCGACAAAUUGAAGCUCUGAUUGAUGGCGGUUUUCGCUUUGCAAACGCAUCUUGAUUCUGUCACACGAAUGACACAGACAAUUACUCAUUAAACCACAGUUAUUGAUGGUCUAUAGCUCUAUGUUACUUCAGAUGGGAAAACUCAGCAACAUAAAGUCUGUGGCACGUCACUCACUUGAGUGCAGUUUAAUUGCCAUAUAAAUGAAGGCAACCUGCUUCUGUACCUACUAAUUGCUGGCAUAAACUGUUCGUAAGACUGCCACCCACUUAUCAUACCCAAAGCACACACACACACACACACACACUCGGGUUAUUGAUCGACAACGAGGCGAUGUGGAAAACUAGUUGAAAGUAACGAGGUUGGGCCAACAAACUGUUGCAUGUGGCCGACAAAUGAGGCCAACUGUAAAGUGCGUAGCCAGGACAUGGACCAGACUAAUAUCCUCUGACAUUGCACGUACAAAAGUCGUCAGUCAAUGCAGCCUAAAGAGGAGCGAGAUAAGGGGAGAGCAAAAGAUACUCUACCGCAAUUGAUUCUAAGACUGUUCAUCAAUUAAUUACUAAAUGGAGCUCAGCUCGAAAUGUUGCGUGGACAUUUUGCGAGACGUUUGCUAAUUAAAUGAAAUUUCAUUAUUUGCAUUAAUUGAGCUUACGAGUCUGCACAAAUUAGCUUAACUGAGGAGCCUCAACACUCUCAAGAGAUUGUCAUUGCUCUUGGCAAUUAAAUAAAAUUUACCAUAACAAACUGUGCUGUGUCAGCACGA